CAGCUGGGCCGGACGGUCGCUCUUCUCGCGUCAAGUGAGGAGGGAGGAAAGUCCGAACUCUACAGAGCAGUGUGCCGGAUAACGUCCGGGAAGCCGAUUUCAAAGCCGGCUGACGGAAAGUGCCACAGAAAAUAUACCGCCCGCAAGGGUAAGGGUGAAAAGGUGCGGUAAGAGCGCACCGCCGUUCCAGUAAUGGAGCGGGCAUGGCAAACCCCACACGGAGCAAGACCAAAUAGGAAGGGAGUCCCGCUGUCGCUGCGGGUUCUCGUUCAGCAGUGAGCUUUGAGUCGUGAGCGUUGAGCAAUCUGAAUCCUCUCGCCGCCGCUCAUGGCUUGCAGCUGAUUCUUCGAGAGCUUGUUGCGACGGUGGGACGCGUGCCUGCUCGGUGCGCCACAACCUUCGGGUAGGUCGCUUGAGCCGCGCAGUAAUGUGCGGCCCAGAGGAAUGGCCGUCCUGCGGUACGUGGUCUCCGGCGUGGGCUUCGGCCUGCGACGGAGCAGCUUCUCUGCAGACAGAAUUCGGCUUAUAGGUCCGGCUGCCUU
rnacentral:RNase_P_RNA from 1 species